rnacentral:rRNA from 1 species
UACGUAGGGAGCGAGCGUUGUCCGGAUUCAUUGGGCGUAAAGAGCUCGUAGGCGGCUUGGUAAGUCGGAUGUGAAACCUCCAGGCUCAACCUGGAGUCGCCAUCCGAUACUGCCAUGGCUAGAGUCCGGUAGGGGCCCACGGAAUUCCUGGUGUAGCGGUGAAAUGCGUAGAUAUCGGAAGGAACACCAGUGGCGAAAGCACUCUGCUGGGCCGACACUGACACUGAGAGACGAAAGCUAGGGGAGCGAAUGGG